rnacentral:sRNA from 1 species
UCUCCGAGCCCAAGCUUUUUACUCCUAGCGUUGGAAUUAUAUCCUUGUAGCUUACCCCUCUAAUUACUAUUGUUUUGUUUUAAACAACCCAAGGUAAUAUGUGAAAGCUCAAUCAAUUCCUAGUGGUCCAUCCACUCAAGUGUAAAAAAAAAAUAAAAAUUUCAAGUUGCUGCUACUGUCAUGGCUGUCAAAUAUUUCAUCGGAUAAUGAAGGUUCCAGGACGUCGGCAACUCCCACAAGUCUCCCCAUUAUUGACAUACCUAACCUUAAUUUCCUGUGUGCCUGGAACUCUGGACUGAGCCAUGGCUAAAUAUGGUGCAAAAUUUGGUGGUUCCUGUAGACCUGAAGAAGAAGAAAACGUUGGGAGCAGAAAUAUCCCCUUCCACAAACGGUGCCACCCUUGGCAUACCAGCUGUAACCUAUUGCAGAGGUCAAGGAAGGGGAGCUUUUUAGAGUUGCAAUGGUGGACUGUGAUGGAGGUAUAAUAAAAAAAAACGACUCCGCGGAUGAUGUCAAGCAUGCUGAUCCAUACAUGGCACAAUGUUCAGAGUGUUAGAAGCACAAGUUUUCUUUUGAACAUCAAGGGUAACCAUGGCAAAACUUCAGCACAUGGUUACCUAUAUUAAGUCACUAGAACAUGGGUGUCUUCAGCUUCUACUGUAUGCUUCUAGUGGUUUUUUCUUCCCUGGCUGCAGUGAGUAUAUAGUUUAAAUUCCUUUUGACAUGUACAGAGAAAGGCACUCUAAAGAAAUGCCCUAAUGAUUUUCAAGAAAUCAUUUCUGUCUUUCACUAGCAAUUUUGGUUGACAUUGGUUAAUUGCCUGUUAGCUCGUCUUCUCUUCUUCUGAGAAACUUCUAAAACCUGUUGCCCUUAGCAUUUUUCACAUUUGCAAGUGCACCUUAGUAUGUUUGUCUUGUAGUUAAACGAAAAUGGGGACCAUUUGGAAGGAUUGUCCCUCCCAUUUGUCAGCCAGUAAUUAUAUGGGAGUUAACCUCCUUCUCCAAUGGAUGCCAUUGGCUAGACUGACAAUUCUGCAACAAGUUUCUCCAUGAUCUACCACUCCCAGUGGUAUUCCAAGACUAAUAAAAGCCAAUGGACUUGAUGAAGAAGCGCUGGGUGCAAACUCUACAACUAUACACCCUUGGUUGCAGGGUAGAGGUUGCGAACUGGAGAGAAGGCCCCGUUAUCUCAGUGGACCAAUAAGAUUUGUGGACAAAGAUGGCAUACCAGCCAAGCAAGGGCGACCUUCUGGCAGUGAAAAUAUGUAACCUGGGUCCUCUGCCUGGGGAUGAAUGAGACUAUACCGCAACAUUUGAAAGAGAAAAUGGAGGAAGUUGUUUGACCGACCAUUUUCCUUGUGUACCUAAAGCUAUUUGGUGCCUGGAAGGGAUUUUUGCCCACUCUCCUCAUGUAGCCGGUGAAUUUUCUUUCCAUUACCCUAUGUUAAAAUCAAUUAAUCAUUUCAAAGUAUCUUAAAUUAAGUUACUUCUCCAACGUUUCUAUAAUCAUGCAUAAAUAUCGAAAACAGUUCAGUCGCUAACGAAGUUUUAUAGACAUAGCCAGGGGGGGCGGAGAUUUUCAGGUUUGCCUCACCCUGGAGUGAUUGGAACUGCACCAUCAAUGGAACUCCAGAAUAUUGGAAUGAGAGAGAAAGAGAAGUUGCAGAAAAUAGCUCAAGGUCCCAAGAACUAUGUGAAGUUUUGCAUUCGCGACCAUUGGCAAACCUGCCAUGGACAAAAAGCUGCCUAUUGGGGAAGGUACUAAAAUCAAUGGUACCUCUGAAUGGGAAAAGACAGCUAAGGCGGCUGCAACGACUGUUCCAGUGAGAGAAAUGGAGGAAAUUGUGGACAUCAAAAACUUUAGCCCUGUUUCAAAAAGUAUAUCUUCCUGUGUUUGUUGAAGGAGUGAAUCUCAGCAUGCACUUUUCUGAAGGCGAUGGCGAGGUAUCCUUUUUGCAGGGCAAUUGAGAUGAGUGGUUUUCUAGAGCUUAAGUACGUUUUAAACCUCAUAUCUGAGCAUCCUGGCAUACAGACGCUAGUCAAGAUGUUUCUACACAUUUCCCUCAAUACAUUUUGAUAGAAGUUUUUGAUAUCUACAUCUCAUCCAGCAAACAUGUCCUGUUGGAUGUAGUGCAUUCGAAGAUAAUUUCAUGACUUAGAAUAAGUAAAGGAGUCUGCUUCAUGCUUUUGAUAAGAGUACCA